GAUGAAGAACGCAGCGAAAUGCGAUAGGUAAUGUGAAUUGCAGAAUUCAGUGAAUCAUCGAAUCUUUGAACGCACAUUGCGCCCUUUGGUAUUCCGAAGGGCAUGCCUGUUCGAGCGUCAUUAUCACCCCUCAAGCCCUCGGCUUGGUGUUGGACGGUUUGGUGGAGGCCCCCUCGGGGGCUCCUGCCCCUCCCAAAGACAAUGACGGCGGCCUCGUUGGACCCCCGGUACACUGAGUUCUUCACGGGACACGUAUCGGACACAUGGGUUUACGGGACACGGUCUGCCUCCCCUCAGGGAGAAUCUUUCUAAGGUUGACCUCGGAUCAGGUAGGGAUACCCGCUGAACUUAAGCAUAUCAAUAAGCGGAGGA
rnacentral:misc_RNA from 1 species